UACGGAGGGUGCAAGCGUUAUCCGGAUUCACUGGGUUUAAAGGGCGCGUAGGCGGCCUGAUAAGUCGGGGGUGAAAUGCUGCGGCUUAACCGCAGCACUGCCUUCGAGACUGUCGGGCUUGAGCACGGUAGAGGCAGAUGGAAUUCCCGGUGUAGCGGUGGAAUGCGUAGAGAUCGGGAAGAACAUCGGUGGCGAAGGCGGCUCACUGGCCCGGUACUGACGCUGAGGUGCGAAAGCGUGGGGAGCAAACAGG
rnacentral:rRNA from 1 species